AACGCGAAGAACCUUACCUGGACUAGAAUGUGAGGGAAGGACGUCUAAUAGCGUCCGUCCGAGUAAUCGGACCCAAAACAAGGUGCUGCAUGGCUGUCGUCAGCUCGUGUCGUGAGAUGUUGGGUUAAGUCCCGCAACGAGCGCAACCCUUAUUGACAGUUGCCAAUAUUAAGUUAGGAACUCUGUCAAGACUGCCGUUGAUAAAACGGAGGAAGGUGGGGACGAUGUCAAGUCAUCAUGGCCUUUAUGUUCAGGGCUACACACGUGCUACAAUGGAUGGUACAAAACGUCGCAAUCUCGCAAGAGGGAGCUAAUCGCAAAAACCAUUCUCAGUUCGGAUCGGAGUCUGCAACUCGACUCCGUGAAGUUGGAAUCGCUAGUAAUCGCAAAUCAGCAUGUUGCGGUGAAUACGUUCCCGGGUCUUGUACACACCG
rnacentral:rRNA from 1 species